AACCCUGAUUUAGUUGCUCGCGGACUACAUGGCAGUCAAUUUCAAAGUGCUUCGUUCUCUCAUGGAAGACUGGAUUUGCCACAAUGUGCUCUGCUGCCUUGUUGUCACAGUGAAGGGCGAUGGGAAAAGAAAGUUGUAUGCCAAAAUCAUUGAGCAGGAAACUAAAGAGAGCCCUAAGAAGAUGCAAAAGCCAGUAAUAGAUUUUCUGCUCAUAGGGCAAGAUGCCCAAUCUGCAUCACAGAAUGCUCGGAGCUUCAAAUCAUUGUCUUGUUUGAAGAAUAAGCUCUUGGAAGGGCAACCUUUCAAAUAUUUGAGAACUUGGAUAGCUGCAUCCUAGUGCGAUUGACGUGCAGCUUGCAUAAACUGACUCAACUUUUGAGUUACGUGUGAAAGAUCUGGCCUGGACUAGAAGACAUAUAAUCCUAUUCUUUAUAAGCCCUUGAGAGUAGAAUGAUAAAAGGAAAGGCGUGAAUCAGGAGAAUAAUGAAGGGGUCCAAAAAAGGAAAACCUCAAGUUGAGCAGAUCUCAGGAAACAAAGUUGAAGAAACUGGAGCAUGAAAAGGAGAAAGCAUUUUUACUGGCAAAAAGCACUGAGAAGUCACUGCCUUUUAGCCCCCAGAUGCUUAACUUUUAUUUUUUCUGUUAACUUUUCAGGAAGCUUUUACAAAGUAUGAAACCACUAUAAAAUUAUUUUUUUAGGAAAUACAAGAUACCAGAGGAUGCUUUUUCACUUCUGCGAUCAUCAAGAAAUAUAAGUCGACUUUGUAUCAUUUGAUCAACUUUUUUUUUUUUUUUUUUAAAGAUUACAAUGAAAUUCUAUUAUAUUUUAUAUACAUUACUCUUUUUUUUUUUUUAUCUCCAAGUAGGUUGAAACUAUGAGAGAAAAACGCAAAAUGACAGUACAAUUUUCUAAGGUAGGUCUCGAAGUUUCACAUAGUGAUCAAUGUUUCAAACUGCGUACUGAUGGAACUUCUUGCGAGCUGAAGCUGAAUCAAAAAGCAUUAACUAGCAAAGUAUGAACAUGAAUGACCAUUUACUGCCAAUGGUAACAGAAACAGAAGUUGAUUCAUCGAUCUGAUUCAUUGGCUAUCUAUUAAAAUUAUAUUGAUAGAUUAGUUAAUAGAAAUUUUAAUGAGAAAACAAUUAAAAAAAUUUAUAUUGUUAAAGUUAAAUUUCAGGCGCAAUUAGGCAUAGAAAAUGAAGACAUUUUUAUUAAAUAGAAAAUAUAUGUACUUUUAUUAAGUAGAAAAUGUCUAAAUUUACUUUUUAUAAAAUUAUUAUAAUUUUUCAUA